rnacentral:rRNA from 1 species
UACGGAGGGAGCUAGCGUUGUUCGGAAUUACUGGGCGUAAAGCGCACGUAGGCGGCUUUUUAAGUCAGGGGUGAAAUCCCGGGGCUCAACCCCGGAACUGCCUUUGAAACUGGGAAGCUAGAAUCCUGGAGAGGCGAGUGGAAUUCCGAGUGUAGAGGUGAAAUUCGUAGAUAUUCGGAAGAACACCAGUGGCGAAGGCGACUCGCUGGACAGGUAUUGACGAUGAGGUGCGAAAGCGUGGGGAGCAAACAGG